rnacentral:rRNA from 1 species
CCUAGCGGCAGACGGGUGAGUAACAUGUGGGAAUCUGCCUUUUGGUUCGGAACAACACGGGGAAACCUGUGCCAAUACCGGAUAAGUCCUAACGGAGAAAGUUUUAAUGCCAAAAGAUGAGCCCGCAUUUGAUUAGCUAGUUGGUGAGGUAAAAGCUCACCAAGGCGAUAAUCAAUAGCUGAUUUGAGAGGAUGGACAGCCACAUUGGGACUGAGAUACGGCCCAGACUCC